AUUGAACGCUGGCGGCAGGCCUAACACAUGCAAGUCGAACGAGUGGCGGACGGGUGAGUAAUGUCGGGGAAACUGCCUGAUGGAGGGGGAUAACUACUGGAAACGGUAGCUAAUACCGCAUACCAUCGGAUGUGCCCAGAUGGGAUUAGCUAGUAGGUGGGGUAACGGCUCACAUAGGCGACGAUCCCUAGCUGGGCUGAGAGGAUGACCAGCCACGGUGGAACGGAGACACGGUCCAGAAUCCUACGGGAGGAAGCAGUGGGGAAUAUGGCACAAUGGGCGCAAGCCUGAUACAGCCAUGCCGGGUGUAUGAAGAAGGCCUUCGGGUUGUAAAGUACUUUCAGCGGGGAGGCGUUACCCGCAGAAGAAGCACCGGCUAACUCCGUGCCAGCAGCCGCGGUAAUUC
rnacentral:rRNA from 1 species